rfam:Ailuropoda melanoleuca scaffold2693_4, whole genome shotgun sequence.
GCCUGGCUGGCUCAGUCGGAAGAGCGCGAGACUCUUGAUCUCGGGGUGAUGAGUUUGAGCCCCAUGUUGGGUG